CAAAAACCCACACAAAAACAGACCACUGAUUGAGGGUGGACACACCCUGGCGCUAAGAGCUCGUGUAGAGCUGUCAAACAAAAAAGCGCACGUGAAAAGUGCAGUCGGCGUGCAAGGAAAAGAAGCAUCGAAAUAAGGAGUGAGACGAAGAAGUGCCGGAGCAGGCCGUGCUGCCCGACGACAGAUUGUGCCGGAAAAAGCCUUCGUGAAGAAGGCCGUUUUACCGGAUACCAGCAGCCGGCCAAGGGCCAGACUGUGACAAAGGCAAAACAGCCUGCCUCCGAUUGCCGUGCGGUCAAUUUUCAUCUUUUAUUCGGCAGGAGGGAAAACUUGUAUCAAGAUCACUAAAGAUCCACCCGACAGUGCCGCUCUGCAGUGUGGGCUAUCAGAGAGCCAAUAUAGCCGAACAUUUCGCGCGCCUAGGAGAAAUCCCGGCGGCGCGACGUAUCGCGCAUUCAGUUUCGGCCUCGAACGCUGUGCGGGCAUUAUCGAGCGGAAGAAGGGUGGCGGAACAUACGCGUGCCAAGGAUCAUUCCCGGCGGCGCGGUUUAUCACUGUUUCCGGCCACGAGAGCCGAAUUGCGGCUGUAGGUGAUUUCGUCAUUGUGUUGCUGUUAGUUUUUUAAAGGGACGAGCCGAAGAAGUUGAGCUCGACCAACCCGUGCCCAGGAUCAUCCCGGCGGCGCGACUGAUCGUGUUUUCCUCGGCCAAAAGAGCCGUGCCGACAUUGGCCGAACAAACGUGCGCCCAGGAUCAUUCCCGGCGGCGCGAUUCAUCUGCGUUUCCUGCCACGAGUGCCGAAUUACCAUUGUCGGCUGU